UGAACCGGAGUCAAAUGCUUAACCGACUGAGCCACCCAGGUGCCCCUCCAUUCUCUCAUUUUUAAAUGUUUAUUCAUGGACUAGUGAAAUAUUAGCCUCUAACAGUAAAAGAUGUUCUGUUUCUCUGUGCCAAAAUCCAUAAUGUAGCCAUUUUUGUUUUUGGUCCUGGCUUUCCUUACCAAUUUACAGUCUGUUCUUCCUCACAAUUAUCUCUAAACUUUAAUACAACUCCUUCCUAGAAGGGAUUUAGUAAAAUGAGUGGAGUCUUGGUCAUGUACAACUCAUUUUUAAGACCAUUCUUAUAGGUCUUAACAUUUCCCUGAUGUUUACAUUUCAUAUAGGAAAAAACUACAACCUAAAACUCAGUCCAACAUUUUAAAUGAAUUGAGAAGUGUGAGGAAUAAGAUUUGAGUUACAAAUCUAUCCAGUUAAGACCAGAAGCAAGUAUUUUAAAGCUCUGGAGCAUUAGCGGCAUAUAAAGCAACCAAGUUAAUCAGAAAACAGUCUUUUGGAAAUUGGUAAUUGAGGACAAGUUAACUAUUUUUGAGUAACCUACCAAAAAGGAACAGGAGAAACCACGUCAUAACAAAUUGUGGGACCAGGACCCAGGGAAUGGCAGGGGUCAACAGAGGAGGCUGCUAUCUCUGAAUAAACUCGUCCCGUUUGCCUCGGAUCACCAGUGUGUGCACAUUAGAAACAAGCAGAUUUGGGGUUCGAAACCUCUGAAGGCUAGCAGUAAAACGUACUGUCUUAUGUUGGUCUUAAAACUGUAGGGUUUGAAGUCAGAUUUUGUGGGUGAGGAUUAGAAUGCUGAAAUGGAUUAGAAAAUCAAAGUAUACCACAUGCAGUAGAGUUGUGAUAAAUUUUACAGUGCAUUAGAUAACUUGCACAUAGAUACACAUGUGGACGUGUUCCUGGUCAUAAUGUAAUUUAUUUUCCUGUUGGUAAUAAAGUUUAAAAACAUUGAAGUAGGCUAUUUCUGAGAUAGUAAGAGCAAGCACUGUCAGGGAGAUGGUCAGGGCAAAGUGGCAAUUUGCCAGAGGAGAGUUUUUGAUUCAGGUAAGAGACUGUGCUAAUAGAAUGACGAAUGACCAAAAUGUGAGGUGCACAGGGUCUGGGCAGUGAAGGAAUAUCCAGCCAGGCCCAGGAAGGAGCCUAACCUAUAAAAACACUGCCCCUCUGAUUCACACAGAAACAAGCUUAGACAAUUCUGGACUAUUGGAAAUCAAACCAAACGACAAUUUACAGAGCUCAGCAGGAUUUCAACCUCUUGGAAACCAAGAGGAAUCAAGGUCAUGAUAGAAUUUACUCUCCGAGAACCUAAACUUUGCCACCAGUGACAGUGGAAUUUGUUCCUACAACAAUGGCACUACUCUGCUGGCUCUUUCCUCAAUCCCUCCAGAACUCCUUCCUCUUCUAAAGAUCCAGGGCAGUGUUCAUACAGCUAGCUCCAACUUACAAGCCAGUGAAACCACAUCACCUACCCAUGCGCGAAAGGGUAGGGUGGCCAGGUAACCCUCUUUUAACCCUUAACCCUCUUUCUCUCCAUCCCCCAUCCUUAGGCUCUCCUGUUGCACCAGGGGAGCCAAAAUCAGGAAAGCUGAGCUUUGGUUUGGGGAAAUGGUGACCACUGGACCUGAAGAGUGAUUUGCCUGAUAACUGAUGCACGCUGUGCCUGUACCCUCAACAGGCUAAAUCCACACAUGUGAACAAUAGAGCAGAGAGAGGCUCUUCCAACCCCACAGACCACUUCUGGCAUGUUCCUUCCUAGGAAGAUGGCCUCUUCAUGAGGCAACAUGGUAAACCUAAGGUAAGCCAUGAAGAAAACUGGAAGGAUGUGUGUGCACAAGGACAACGGAGGCUCAUUUCCUUCUUACUAUGACAUCUAGAAAAACACGGUGUCUGAUUCAAGAAUUUUAGAAUGUUUGAGGAAAAAACACUUAAAUUAGGCUAAGAUUUAAUUUUUAGAUUUCUCAAUUUCCUUUCACAAAUGCUCUAUGUUCCAAACUUAACAAAUCUGGGCUUUCUCAGAAAUGAAUAAAAGUUAAUAGAAUGACUUGGCAGCAUCCUUUAAUGUCCUAAUGUUGAUGCAUGUAUCCCACUGUCUUAACAAAGAAGCUGGACUGAAUGAAAUUAUAGGGGGCCCAUGUGCUCACUCUGAACAGCCUGUUCGAUUCCUCUCAGUCUGGCAUAGGCAGUGUUUAUAUCCAGAGUAAAGUUGUCAAUUUGUUCUUGA